AUGAAGGGGAAAAGAGGCCUCACUGGAAAAGCAACAGGGAGGAAAGAUCCUAGCCGCGUUCCUGAUGGGGGUUAUUCUGGAAGGUGAUGUGGGCCUGGAGUAGGAGAGGUGAGGGGCCUGGCACCCUCAAGUGAGGUGGCAGAUGGAGCCCGGGACCUGGAUACUCCAGGGGCUGGAUUCACACCAGAAAUGCCACCAUCAACCUGGGAAGUAUCAAACAGGUGCCAGAGCUCUCCGGGCACAUGCUUAAACCCUCACGCCUUGCUAGCCCAGUCCAGAAAAGCUUCCAUGGCCGCUCGCUCUGCUAAGCCACGGGGAUAAGCCCGGCUCAGUCACCAGGAUGAGACUCAGGGCCAAAGACAGGUUCUGUCUGAAAGACUCCCCACCCAGUUCUUGGAGAGUGAGCUAAGAGAGCGCUCCUCCCCUGAGAGUAAGGCUCCAGCAUCCUUUCUCCUCCAGACUGGCCCAGCUCCUGUGUGGCACCAUGAGAAGAACAGAGUAACCCCAGCAUGGGUUGAUGGGUGUGGGUCACCAUCUCCUGAAGGAGGAGGACUGUCCUGUCACUCUUCAGAGGUCAGCUGAAGUCCUCACUAACCAGAUAAUUACCACACACUGAGACUUUUCUGAGGAGCACCCUGAGAGGGCCAGUAGCCUCUCAGGGUUCCUAUCAGCGUCCUCAUAAACUCCUUCUGUCCCGGCUUGGGGAAGAUAAGGCAGCUUGCCUUGUCUUUAGCUAU
rnacentral:lncRNA from 1 species